rnacentral:siRNA from 1 species
CGGCGAUGCGUCCUGGUC